UUGGGGGAAAAAAAGUUUGGCGGAAAUUUUUUUUUGGCGGGAAAAAUAAUUUUUGGCGCAAAAAAUUCGGCGGGAAACUUGCAGUUUACAAUUACAUGUUCUUAUUAGAUGAGGGUAAUUUGGUCAUUCUGUUCAAGGAAAAGGAUAUUUUUAAAAAUGAACAAUAUAAAAGACUAUUGUUGCAAAAGGGUAGUAAAAAAUGGUAGUUUUGCAAAACUCCCUUAAUUUUAAGCUACUUCUCAAACGUUCUAGUUGACACAAUGCUUUCCAAUUAAUACGUUAAUAGUAUAACUAGGUCGGUACCUUUGCUACGCACAUUAUUCAUGCUUUAAUUAGUUUAUCAAUUUCACUUAUGUAUAUAUUACGAACUUCAUGUAUUCUGUUUGUCUAUAAAUGUUUAUUUGUAUAAUUUAU
rnacentral:sRNA from 1 species